GACGAACGCUGGCGGCGUGCUUAACACAUGCAAGUCGAACGGAAAGGCCCUGCUUUUGUGGGGUGCUCGAGUGGCGAACGGGUGAGUAACACGUGAGUAACCUGCCCUUGACUUUGGGAUAACUUCAGGAAACUGGGGCUAAUACCGGAUAGGAGCUCCUGCUGCAUGGUGGGGGUUGGAAAGUUUCGGCGGUUGGGGAUGGACUCGCGGCUUAUCAGCUUGUUGGUGGGGUAGUGGCUUACCAAGGCUUUGACGGGUAGCCGGCCUGAGAGGGUGACCGGCCACAUGGGGACUGAGAGACGGCCCAGAGUCCUACGGGAGGCAGCAGUGGGGAAUAUGGCACAAUGGGCGGAAGCCUGAUGCAGCAACGCCGCGUGCGGGAUGACGGCCUUCGGGUUGUAAACCGCUUUCGCCUGUGACGAAGCGUGAGUGACGGUAAUGGGUAAAGAAGCACCGGCUAACUACGUG
rnacentral:rRNA from 1 species